GAUGAACGCUAGCGGGAGGCCUAACACAUGCAAGCCGAGCGGUAUUGUUUCUUCGGAAAUGAGAGAGCGGCGUACGGGUGCGUAACACGUGUGCAACCUGCCUUUAUCUGGGGGAUAGCCUUUCGAAAGGAAGAUUAAUACUCCAUAAUAUAUUGAACGGCAUCGUUUAAUAUUGAAAGCUCCGGCGGAUAGAGAUGGGCACGCGCAAGAUUAGCUAGUUGGUGAGGUAACGGCUCACCAAGGCGAUGAUCUUUAGGGGGCCUGAGAGGGUGAUCCCCCACACUGGUACUGAGACAAGGACCAGACUCCUACGGGAGGCAGCAGUGAGGAAUAUUGGUCAAUGGGUGCAAGCCUGAACCAGCCAUCCCGCGUGAAGGAAGACUGCCCUAUGGGUUGUAAACUUCUUUUGUAUAGGGAUAAACCUACCCUCGUGAGGGUAGCUGAAGGUACUAUACGAAUAAGCACCGGCUAACUCCGUG
rnacentral:rRNA from 1 species